rnacentral:rRNA from 1 species
UCUUCGGAUCUAGUGGCGCACGGGUGCGUAACGCGUGGGAAUCUGCCCUUAGGUUCGGAAUAACGUCGGGAAACUGACGCUAAUACCGGAUGAUGACGUAAGUCCAAAGAUUUAUCGCCCAGGGAUGAGCCCGCGUAGGAUUAGCUAGUUGGUGGGGUAAAGGCCUACCAAGGCGACGAUCCUUAGCUGGUCUGAGAGGAUGAUCAGCCACACUGGGACUGAGACACGGCCCAG